GGAUAAGUUUUUUUAGUCUUCUAAACUAUUGAUGAGGUUGUCUCACUUAUUU
rnacentral:tRNA from 1 species